AUUGAACGCUGGCGGCAGGCCUAACACAUGCAAGUCGAGCGGAGCGGCGGACGGGUGAGUAAUGCCUAGGAUUCUGCCUGGUAGUGGGGGAUAACGUCCGGAAACGGGCGCUAAUACCGCAUACUAUCAGAUGAGCCUAGGUCGGAUUAGCUAGUUGGUGGGGUAACGGCCUACAUAGUCGACGAUCGGUAGCUGGUCUGGGAGGAUGAUCAGUCACACUGGAACUGAGACACGGUCCGGACGCCUACGGGAGGCAGCAGUGGGGAAUGUGGGACAAUGGGCGAAAGCCUGAUCCAGCCAUGCGGGGUGUGUGAGGAGGGUCUGCGGAUUGUAGAGCACUGUAAGUUGGGAGGCGGUACCAACAGAAUAAGCACCGGCUAACUACGUGCCAGCAGCCGCGGUAAUAC
rnacentral:rRNA from 1 species